GGGUGACAGGUGGUGCAUGGUUGUCGGUCAGGCUCGUGUCGUGAGAUGUUGGGUUAAGUCCCGCAACGAGCGCAACCCUCGACCUUAGUUGCCAGCAUUCAGUUGGGCACUCUAAGGUGACUGCCGGCUAAAAGUCGGAGGAAGGUGGGGAUGACGUCAAAUCAUCAUGCCCCUUAUGACCUGGGCUACACACGUGCUACAAUGGGCGGUACAAAGGGUCGCGAACCCGCGAGGGGGAGCCAAUCCCAAAAAGCCGCUCUCAGUUCGGAUUGCAGGCUGCAACUCGCCUGCAUGAAGCCGGAAUCGCUAGUAAUCGCGGAUCAGCAUGCCGCGGUGAAUACGUUCCCGGGCCUU
rnacentral:rRNA from 1 species